rnacentral:lncRNA from 1 species
UUUUAAUUUUAAAUUUAACACAGGAUACUAGUGUUAUUUUAGUAUUACUUAUGUUCUAUUAAAGUUUUUAUUAAUAUUUUGAGUUUUAGUUAAAUUUUUAGUAAUUUAUGUUCUUUUAAUAUUUUUAUUAGUUUUUUUUUUUUAAUAUAUAUAUUACUAUUUGAGUAAAAUUAAUUUUUAUUUCACUUUUAGUUUUAGUUCUUGUUGAGUUUUGGUGUUAUGUAUUUCCAUUAAGUCAUUUUGUUGCUUCAGUUAAACUUAUUUUAGUUAGUUGUUAUUUCUAAUAUUUGUUUAAUGUAAGUUUUUUAUCUUCUAUAUUUUAUUUUAUUAAGUUUUGUUUCAAUUAACAAAGUUUUGUUUUGUUUUGUUUUUUUAAACCCUGCUGCAUACAGCAAGAAUAAUAUGUGAAUUACUGUAAACCCUCUAUAAUAAGAAAAAAUGUGGAGGGUGAGUCAGAGCUCUGAUGAUGAUGAUGAUGAUGAUGAUGAUGAUGAUGAGCGUCAGUGCUGUAAGUUGAGGUGUUAAAUCAGGGAUAUUAACGUGACUCUCUCUCUCUCCGGGUUACAGCAGCCUAUCCUGCCGCUUAUGCGCCAAUCAGCCAAGCGUUUCCCCAGCAACCAGCCAUCAUCCCCCAGCAACAGCGGGAAGGACCGGAGGGCUGUAACCUGUUUAUUUACCACCUGCCGCAGGAGUUCGGCGACGCGGAGCUCAUGCAGAUGUUUCUGCCCUUUGGCAACGUCAUUUCCGCCAAAGUCUUCGUGGACCGGGCCACCAAUCAGAGCAAGUGUUUCGGUGAGUUCCCACAAUGCCGCGCUUCACUCUUUAUUUCCCGCGUGGGCACUAAUCAAUAUGCGAUUAGCGCUCGUCACGGCCGAUGGAUUCCUGUGAUUUUCCCUCCGGCGGCGGUUCUCUCUGAUAUCCAUCAUCUUCCUCACAGUCUUCCAGCUCUGCCGCUUCAGGACUGAUAACCAGUGCUGUUUUAGUAUGAUUUAUAUAGUAUUAUAGUAGAAUUAUUCAUUAGCUUUUAUUUUUAUAUUUCCAGUUUCAUUUUUCAGUUUCUGUUUAAUUUGCAGUCAUUUUGUUUGUUUUUGUUUUUGACAUUUUUAUAAUUUUUAUUUUUAUUUUAUUUCUGUUUAUUGCAGUUUUGCUUUUACUUCAGUUUUAUUUUAUUUUAUUUAUUUAUUUUUAUUUAUUCUUAACUGUUUUAAUUAAUUUUAAAUAAAAAAUUAUAAUUUUUUUUGCUUUUAUUGUUGCGAUUAUUUUAUGAUUAUUUUAAUUCCUUUUUAUGUGAAGCACUUUGAAUUACCGUUGUGUAUGAAAUGUUCUAUAUAAAUAAAC